rnacentral:sRNA from 1 species
AUUGGAAGGUCGUUUUUAAGCUUGAGAACGGUAAUAGACAUCCAGGUGGAGAUGACUAGGCGGCAGAUGAGUCCGGAGUUCAGGGCAGCUCUCCAUCGAUAUUUCUAGCUCGCUUUGUCUACAGUCAUGAGCAGUUGAACAUCAGAUACUCAGAGUGACAUCAGGUUAAAAAAAAAGCCUGCAAUUUGGAUCUUUUCCUGCCUCAGAAGCAAGGAAAAUGGACAAUUGAUAAUCAAAGGCUAAAUCUAUUCUGGGAUCCACUGAAUGCCACUAGCGGGUCUGCUCGAGAGAAUUCCUGAUUGAAUGACAACGGCGCUAAGAACAUCUCGAUGCAGACUAUCCACCUGCAUAAGAAACGGGCGAUGGUGACAGAAGGAAAAAAAAGAACAAAGCCCUGUCGGGUGCCCCAGUGGGAGAAUUGGUCACCAUGAGAAGGGACCACAGACUGGCAGCUGAAACAACAGAAAUUGAUGUCCUGACAGUUCUGGAGGCUGAAGUCCGAGAUUGAGGUGUAGGCAGGGAAAAAUGAUUAAGAUCCUGUGUGCUUUGUCUUAGGAUUUUCUGAUUAUUUUUUUCUCUUUCAAAAGACUACAAAUUGGAGAAGUUUCAGAAGCUUUUCCAUUCCGUGAGGAUCUUUUAUUUUCUUUUAUCUGUCCCCAACAGCCUCUUUUUUUCUUCUUCUCAUUAUUUCUGACCAGAUAGGCUCUCUGUGCCUGUCUUUUGUUGGGAAAGAAACCUCUAACACAAGUUGCAGUUCCAUGUUCCCGGGGAGCAUUUCAGUGGUAACUGCAGUCAUUAUAGGGGUGUUGUCUAAGAACCUGCCUAGCUGCAAUGAUCCUGCUGAUUGUGUUAUCUCUUUAAACAAUGCGGUAGACGUUAGAAUGGGCUAAUGAUUUAUUUUCCCAUUCUGGUAAGUUUUACAAGUGCUUCUUUCAUAAUAGGAGAGUCUUUUUUAAACGGGGGUAAUUUAGAUUUGUUUGUUCUUGGAAGGAGGGUGGGGCAUGAGGAAUGCCGUAAUCUUACAUUAUGGUAUUAAUCAUUCUGUGUUCAGUUUGUUCUUUUACAGGUUUAAUCUUGCAUUCAGUUUUGAUAGAGAACAUAAAGCAUUUUUUUAACCUAGUGAUGUCUCAGGUAGCGGUGGUACUUGAGAUGGCUCAUUUUGUACAUUACUUCAUGGAAAAUAGAUUCUUGGCACCCCCAACAACUAGUGUGAGCUGGCAAGCCACAGAUCCUUGGAGGUUUAGCUGCUUCCGCUGUUAAAAGCAGAUACUGACACAUAGUGAGUACCCCAGGCAAAUGAGCUUUAUUUGGGGAAUGUUGAAUUUAGGGUCUUGUUAGAACAUACAAAUAAAUUUGUCCUUAUGGCACUGUUUUGAGAUUAUAUAAGUACCUGGCAUAAUUAAGUAAUGGCAAUCACUCUAAUUAUCAUUAUUAAUUCAAGGUACCUUUUUCUUUUUCCUGACGGAUAACCCUUACAUUAUUACAAAUACUAAAUUAAUGAGUAAGAAACAAAUGUGCAUGUAAUUUUGCUUUGAAAUUUCAAAUAAGGAAAAAUAAAUCUAAAAAACAAA